rnacentral:rRNA from 1 species
GACGAACGCUGGCGGCGUGCCUAAUACAUGCAAGUAGAACGCACAGUUUAUACCGUAGCUUGCUACACCAUAAACUGUGAGUUGCGAACGGGUGAGUAACGCGUAGGUAACCUGCCUGGUAGCGGGGGAUAACUAUUGGAAACGAUAGCUAAUACCGCAUAAUAUUGAUUAUUGCAUGAUAAUUGAUUGAAAGAUGCUAUUGCAUCACUACCAGAUGGACCUGCGUUGUAUUAGCUAGUAGGUGAGGUAACGGCUCACCUAGGCGACGAUACAUAGCCGACCUGAGAGGGUGAUCGGCCACACUGGGACUGAGACACGGCCCAGACUCCUACGGGAGGCAGCAGUAGGGAAUCUUCGGCAAUGGACGAAAGUCUGACCGAGCAACGCCGCGUGAGGAAGAAGGUUUUCGGAUCGUAAAGCUCUGUUGUAAGAGAAGAACGGG